CGGGACUAACACCGAUAUGCUCCGGCGAGCCGUAAGCAGGCUUUGACCCGGAGAUUUCCGAAUGGGGAAACCCACUGUUCGUAAUGGGACAGUAUCCUAUACUGAAUACAUAGGUAUAGGAAGGCAGACCCGGGGAACUGAAACAUCUAAGUACCCGGAGGAAGAGAAAGCAAACGCGAUUUCCCAAGUAGCGGCGAGCGAAACGGAAUCAGCCCAAACCAGAAAGCUUGCUUUCUGGGGUUGUAGGACACUCCUUUGGAGUUAUCAAGGAGGAAGAUAGACGAAUCGAUCUGGAAAGAUCAGCCGAAGAGGGUAACAGCCCUGUAGUCGAAAUCUUCCUCUCUCCGGAGUGGAUCCUGAGUACGGCGGAACACGAGGAAUUCCGUCGGAAUCCGGGGGGACCAUCCUCCAAGGCUAAAUACU
rnacentral:rRNA from 1 species